rnacentral:rRNA from 1 species
ACUAGCAGUAAGAGUUUGAUCCUGGCUCAGAACGAACGCUGGCGGCAUGCCUAACACAUGCAAGUCGAACGAGACCUUCGGGUCUAGUGGCGCACGGGUGCGUAACGCGUGGGAACCUGCCUUGAGGUUCGGAAUAACUCCCCGAAAGGGGUGCUAAUACCGGAUGAUGUCUUCGGACCAAAGAUUUAUCGCCUUUAGAUGGGCCCGCGUUGGAUUAGCUAGUUGGUGGGUAAAGGCCUACCAAGGCGACGAUCCAUAGCUGGUCUGAGAGGAUGAUCAGCCACACUGGGACUGAGACACGGCCCAGACUCCUACGGGAGGCAGCAGUGGGGAAUAUUGGACAAUGGGCGAAAACCUGAUCCAGCAAUGCCGCGUGAGUGAUGAAGGCCUUAGGGUUGUAAAGCUCUUUUACCAGGGAUGAUAAUGACAGUACCUGGAGAAUAAACUCCGGCUAACUCCGUGCCAGCAGCCGCGGUAAUAC